GCUGGAGCAGGCAGGGGUCAGUCCUGUGCUGCGGCCCUUGCACUCGGGGGCUGAGCCGUGUGAGGGCGUCUGGCUCUGCCUCACUGGCCCCUCACUGGCUCUCUCCCUUUGCCACCUGCCUGUGGACCCUUUUUCUCUGGAGCUGUCUGGGAUUGCGCCACUGUGGUGACGGUCCCUGAGGCACUCCCGGAGCUGGACCUGGAGCCCAUGCAGAUGCCCCGGGAAUCGGUGCUGUCAGACUGGCUGCCACAGAGGACACAGUGGGGAGGGCCGCAGGCCGCUGGCGCUGCCCAGGAAUGUGCUGGAACAAGGAAACAGAGGAGAAUCUCCUACUGCAUUGUGGGACGGAGACAUCCUUAUGACAUCCAGUAAAGCCUACAAGAAGAAAAAGCUCUCCAUAGUUGAAGAAAAGUGUUUGAAAGAAUCACAGUCAGAGGACAGAAAAGACAUUUGAAAAGUACAGUUAGGUGUUUC